rnacentral:rRNA from 1 species
UAUCCGGAUUUAUUGGGUGUAAAGGGUGCGUAGACGGGAAAUUAAGUUAGUUGUGAAAUCCCUCGGCUUAACUGAGGAACUGCAACUAAAACUGGUUUUCUUGAGUGCUGGAGAGGAAAGUGGAAUUCCUAGUGUAGCGGUGAAAUGCGUAGAUAUUAGGAGGAACACCAGUGGCGAAGGCGACUUUCUGGACAGUAACUGACGUUGAGGCACGAAAGUGUGGGGAGCAAACAGGAUUAGAUACCCUGGUAGUCCACACCGUAAACGAUGGAUACUAGGUGUAGGGUGUGAUAAACAUUCUGUGCCGUCGCAAACGCAAUAAGUAUCCCACCUGGGGAGUACGGCCGCAAGGUUGAAACUCAAAGGAAUUGACGGGGGCCCGCACAAGCAGUGGAGUAUGUGGUUUAAUUCGACGCAACGCCAAGAACCUUACCAGGGCUUGACAUAUACGGAAUAUUUAAGAUUAUAUACUCUUCGAAUCUGUAUACAG